rnacentral:rRNA from 1 species
AGAACCCGAUCCCAUCUCGAACUCGGCCGUUAAACGCACCAGCGCCUAUGGUACUGUGUCUCAAGACACGGGAGAGUCGGUCGCCGCCA